GGUGUGCAGGCGAUACGGGCUGGCUUGAGUGCUGUAGGGGAGACUGGAAUUCCUGGUGUAGCGGUGGAAUGCGCAGAUAUCAGGAGGAACACCGAUGGCGAAGGCAGGUCUCUGGGCAGUUACUGACGCUGAGGAGCGAGAGCAUGGGUAGCGAACAGGAUUAGAUACCCUGGUAGUCCAUGCUGUAAACGGUGGGCGCUAGGUGUGGGGACUUUCCAUGGUUUCCGUGUCGUAGCUAACGCGUUAAGCGCCCCGCCUGGGGAGUACGGCCGCAAGGCUAAAACUCAAAGGAAUUGACGGGGGCCCGCACAAGCGGCGGAGCAUGUGGAUUAAUUCGAUGCAACGCGAAGAACCUUACCUGGGUUUGACAUGCACUAGAUUAGGCGAGAGAUCGUCUGUCCCUUUGUGGCUGGUGUGCAGGUGGUGCAUGGUUGUCGUCAGCUCGUGUCGUGAGAUGUUGGGUUAAGUCCCGCAACGAGCGUAACCCUUGUCUUAUGUUGCCAGCACGUUGUGGUGGGGACUCGUGAGAGACUGCCGGGGUGAACUCGGAGGAAGGUGGGGAUGACGUCAAAUCAUCAUGCCCCUUAUGUCCAGGGCUUCACACAUGCUACAAUGGCCGGUACAGUAGGUUGCGAGACCGUGAGGUGGAGCUAUCCUUUAAAGCUGG
rnacentral:rRNA from 1 species